AGAGUUUGAUUAUGGCUCAGGAUGAACGCUAGCGAUAGGCCUAACACAUGCAAGUCGAGGGGCAGCACAUGAAGUAGCAAUACGGAUGGUGGCGACCGGCGCACGGGUGAGUAACGCGUAUGCAACCUGCCUACAACAGGGGAAUAACCCGUUGAAAGACGGACUAAUACCCCAUAACACAGGGAUCCCGCAUGGGAAUAUUUGUUAAAGAUUUAUCGGUUGUAGAUGGGCAUGCGUUCCAUUAGCUUGUUGGUGAGGUAACGGCUCACCAAGGCAACGAUGGAUAGGGGAACUGAGAGGUUUAUCCCCCACACUGGUACUGAGACACGGACCAGACUCCUACGGGAGGCAGCAGUGAGGAAUAUUGGUCAAUGGACGCAAGUCUGAACCAGCCACGUCGCGUGAAGGAAGACGGCCCUACGGGUUGUAAACUUCUUUUGUAAGGGAAUAAAGUGUAGUACGUGUACUAUUUUGCAUGUACCUUACGAAUAAAGAUCGGCUAACUCCGUGCCAGCAGCCGCGGUAAUACGGAGGAUCCGAGCGUUAUCCGGAUUUAUUGGGUUUAAAGGGUGCGCAGGCGGGAGAUUAAGUCGGCGGUGAAAUUUUGCAGCUCAACUGUAAAAGUGCCUUCGAAACUGGUUUCCUUAAGUGUGGAUGAAGUAGGCGGAAUUUGUGGUGUAGCGGUGAAAUGCAUAGAUAUCGCGAGGAACUCCGAUUGCGCAGGCAGCUUACUAAACCAUAACUGACGCUCAGGCACGAAGGCGUGGGGAUCAAACAGGAUUAGAUACCCUGGUAGUC
rnacentral:rRNA from 1 species